AAAAAUCAAAGUUCCUGGUAGUGGGGGGAAAGAUGAGCAAUUAUAACAAUGCUGUAUUAGAGGAUGCUGGAGUGCUCGCUGAAGGAUUAGUUGGGCUUAGAAUAAAGGCCUGGUGGCCAUUUGAUGAGAUGUUCUAUGAUGGCCUAAUUCAAUCUUACGACCCUCUAACGAAAAAGCGCAAGGACGUGGUAAUUCUUCCUUACAAAGACAGCCUUCUGUUAUUCAGUUGAUAUCUGCAACAAUUUGAUUUGGAUGGCAAUCGGGGCUUACUGUUUAUGGGAAUAAAGGAAGCACAGAUCAGCAUGCCUACAAACAACAGCUGAGAGAGGGUGUGCACAACUUCUUCGUAACAUUCAUUGAAGUGCUUUGUGAGAGACCACCUGGUCAUGAUUGGGAGCUUGAACCUAGUGUUACCUGUGGUGACUAUCUGUUUGGAAUGCUUCAAGUUAAUUUACAAUAAGAGCUACUAAUAUUUACCUUUAAGAAGAUUCUAGCAAUAGUUGAAGUUCUUAUGUCUAUUGUUUCUGAAGUUUAAGAUCUCACACUUCUCUUGGAAAGGAGACAUGAGUACAGUGGAUGAUUUACUUAUAGUCACUCAGUUGUUUUCUGCAAUUGAUCUCUUUUAGAUAUGGUGAACUUCUGUAGGGAACGGGCUAUGCUCUAUAUGCCAAUGAUCGUGAGUCUAUAACAGUCACUGUUGAAGAAGUGACCCCUAUAUCAGUGGGGGCUCUUAUAGCAUUGUAUGAGCGAGCAGUUGAGGUA